rnacentral:rRNA from 1 species
GACGAACGCUGGCGGCGUGCUUAACACAUGCAAGUCGAACGGAAAGGCCCUGCUUUUGUGGGGUGCUCGAGUGGCGAACGGGUGAGUAACACGUGAGUAACCUGCCCUUGACUUUGGGAUAACUUCAGGAAACUGGGGCUAAUACCGGAUAGGAGCUCCUGCUGCAUGGUGGGGGUUGGAAAGUUUCGGCGGUUGGGGAUGGACUCGCGGCUUAUCAGCUUGUUGGUGGGGUAGUGGCUUACCAAGGCUUUGACGGGUAGCCGGCCUGAGAGGGUGACCGGCCACAUUGGGACUGAGAUACGGCCCAGACUCCUACGGGAGGCAGCAGUGGGGAAUAUUGCACAAUGGGCGGAAGCCGGAUGCAGCAACGCCGCGUGCGGGAUGACGGCCUUCGGGUUGUAAACCGCUUUCGCCUGUGACGAAGCGCGAGUGACGGUAAUGGGUAAAGAAGCACCGGCUAACUACGU